AGCACCGCCACCUCUAACGGAGGCAGAGGAGCUGGCCCUGAGCCAGAAUUUUGGAAGGCCAGCGACUGAGGGAAUCCCUGGAGGGAGCUCAUCCUCUGAGCCCACCCCCCAAGACACAAGUGCCUUUAUAACAUGUAAUAUUCCUAGACCUAUAUAUCUUUUUUUAAGCCUAUUCAUACAAAUAUUUAUUUCCCUUUCAUGUCUUUUUUUUUUUUCUCCCAACUUUUGCUGAUGGUGCUAUCUGCCUGGUGGAGCCCCCUCACGCCACAACAGACCUUGUAACUGAUGAAGAGUACGAGGAGACUUUGUCUGCUGCCUUCACAGAGGGGGAACCAGAAAGGCCUGUAGAGGGCAUGGCUGGGCAGCAGCAGGAGGGUCCCUCAACUUCAACUGCACAGAUUGACACAUUACCAGUUAAAGAUAUCUAUAAAAUAUUUCUUCUGAAAAAAAUUGAAAAAACCAACAAAGAAAUGCAGUUCUUGGACCGCCAGAUGAGAAGGGCAGAUCUCGAAAUUGAAUUAUUAGAGCACAAGUUAGAGGUGGGUGCAUGGUCACAGGUGAAUUAUGUUAAUUAUGUUAACUACAGGAACAUUAACUAAACUAUCUCUUGUAUUUGUAGGAAAUAAAGAAGACCAAAUGAAA